rnacentral:rRNA from 1 species
UUGACCUCGAAUCAGGUAGGGAUACCCGCUGAACUUAAGCAUAUCAAUAAGCGGAGGAAAAGAAACCAACAGGGAUUACCUCAGUAACGGCGAGUGAAGCGGUAACAGCUCAAAUUUGAAAUCUGGCUCCUUCGGAGUCCGAGUUGUAAUUUGUAGAAGAUGCUUUGGGUUGCAGGUUUGGUCUAAGUUCCUUGGAACAGGGCGUCAUAGAGGGUGAGAAUCCCGUAUGCGGCCGUGACCUGUGCCCGUGUAAAGCUCUUUCGACGAGUCGAGUUGUUUGGGAAUGCAGCUCAAAAUGGGUGGUAAAUUUCAUCUAAAGCUAAAUAUAGGCCAGAGACCGAUAGCGCACAAGUAGAGUGAUCGAAAGAUGAAAAGCACUUUGGAAAGAGAGUUAAACAGUACGUGAAAUUGUUGAAAGGGAAGCGCUUGCAACCAGACUUGGGCGUCGUGGAUCAUCCGAGGUUCUCCUCGGUGCACUCGACGACGCGCAGGCCAGCAUCGGUUCGGAUGGCUGGAAAAAGGUCCUAGAAAUGUAGCUCCUCGCGGGGAGUGUUAUAGUCUAGGGCGCAAUGCAGCCCAACUGGACCGAGGACCGCGCUUCGGCUAGGAUGCUGGCGUAAUGGUUGUAAGCGACCCGUCUUGAAACACGGACCAAGGAGUCUAACAUCUAUGCGAGUGUUUGGGCGUUAAACCCAUACGCGGAAUGAAAGUGAACG